CUAAAUUACAACCUAUUGAUGGUCCAUAAAGCUCAAAUGACGAUAUUUUAGUGAACGAUAGCAGAGAUGACACAGAUGUGUCAAUAUAUAUAGGAAGAUGUGGUAUGAGUGCCAAUGAGACAACUCUCCAUCAACGUAAAAAUCUAUAAAAGUAAACCAUUAUAGGCCAAGGUACGGCCUUCAAUACGGAGCCUUGGCUCACACCGAACAGCACGCUAUAAAGGGCCCCAA
rnacentral:lncRNA from 1 species